rnacentral:rRNA from 1 species
AUUGAACGCUGGCGGCAUGCCUUACACAUGCAAGUCGAACGGUAACGGGCCUUCGGGUGCCGACGAGUGGCGAACGGGGGAGUAAUACAUCGGAACGUGCCCGAUCGUGGGGGAUAACGCGGCGGAAGCUUUGCUAAUACCGCAGACGAUCUACGGAUGAAAGCAGGGGACCGCAAGGCCUUGCGCGGACGGAGCGGCCGAUGGCAGCUUAGGUAGUUGGUGGGAUAGAAGCUUACCAAGCCGACGAUCUGUAGCUGGUCUGAGAGGAUGAUCAGCCACACUGGGACGGAGACACGGCCCAGACUCCUACGGGAGGCAGCAGUGGGGAAUUCUGGACAAUGGGCGCAAGCCUGAUCCAGCCAUGCCGCGUGCAGGAUGAAGGACUUCGGGUUGUAAACUGAUUUUGUACGGAACGAAAAGCCUUCUUUUAAUACAGGAGGGUCAUGACGGUACCGUAAGAAUAAGCACCGGCUAACUACGUG